GACGUAGGGCGCGAGCGUUGUCCGGAUUUAUUGGGCGUAAAGAGCUCGUAGGCGGCUUGUCGCGUCGACUGUGAAAAACCGCGGCUCAACUGCGGGCCUGCAGUCGAUACGGGCAGGCUAGAGUUCGGUAGGGGAGACUGGAAUUUACGGUGUAGCGGUGAAAUGCGUAGAUAUCGUAAGGAAGACCAGUGGCGAAGGCGGGUCUCUGGGCCACUACUGACGCUGAGAAGCGAAAGCAUGGGGAGCGAACAGG
rnacentral:rRNA from 1 species